rnacentral:rRNA from 1 species
UACGGAGGGUGCAAGCGUUGUCCGGAAUCACUGGGCUUAAAGGGCGCGUAGGCGGGCUGCCAAGUCUGGGGUGAAAUCCCGCGGCUCAACCGUGGAACUGCCUCAGAUACUGGCGGCCUCGAGGGGGAUAGGGGCGAGCGGAACUAAUGGUGGAGCGGUGAAAUGCGUUGAUAUCAUUAGGAACUCCGGUGGCGAAGGCGGCUCGCUGGGUCUCUUCUGACGCUGAUGCGCGAAAGCUAGGGGAGCAAACGGG